rnacentral:rRNA from 1 species
CCUACGGGAGGCAGCAGUGAGGAAUAUUGGUCAAUGGCCGGAAGGCUGAACCAGCCAAGCCGCGUGAAGGUCAGUGCCCCAUCGGCGUUAAACUCUUUUUGUGCGGGAGCAAUAAUAGUCACGUGUGGCCAGACGAGAGUACCGUACGAAUAAGCAUCGUCUAACACCGUGCCAGCAGACGCGGUAAUACGGGAGAUGCAGGCGUUGUCCGGAUGUAUUUGGUUUAAAGGGUGCGUAGGCUGUGAGGUAAGUCAGCGGUGAAAUGCCCCCGCUCAACGGGGUGAAGUGCCAUUGAAACUGCGUUGCUGGAGUGGGGAUGACGUGGGAGGAAUGUGUGGUGUAGCGGUGAAAUGCAUAGAUAUCACACAGAACACCGAUUGCGAAGGCAUCUCACGAAUGCGCGAUUGACGCUGAUGCACGAAAGCGUGGGUAUCAAACAGGAUUAGAUACCCGUGUAGUC